GGGAGCCUGAUCCAGCCAUGCCGCGUGCAGGAAGACUGCCCUAUGGGUUGUAAACUGCUUUUAUACGGGAAGAAACACCCCCUCGUGAGGGGGCUUGACGGUACCGUAAGAAUAAGGAUCGGCUAACUCCGUGCCAGCAGCCGCGGUAAUAAAAA
rnacentral:rRNA from 1 species